CCCUUAGAUGUUCUGGGCCGCACGCGCGCUACAAUGGCGGACUCAGCGAGUUACCUCUGUCGAAAGGCACAGGGAAUCUUUACAGUAUCUGCCGUGAUGGGGAUAGACCCUUGUAAUUUUUGGUCUUCAACGAGGAAUUCCUAGUAAACGCAAGUCAUUAACUUGCAUUGAUUACGUCCCUGCCCUUUGUACACACCGCCCGUCGCACCUACCGAUUGAAUGGUCCGGUGAAGUCCUCGGACCCAGUUGAACCUCGAGUUGAACAGGGAAAGUUGACUAAAUCUUACCAUUUAGAGGAAGGUGAAGUCGUAACA
rnacentral:rRNA from 1 species